GUACACUCCUACGGGAGGCAGCAGUGGGGAAUUUUGGACAAUGGGCGAAAGCCUGAUCCAGCAAUGCCGCGUGCAGGAUGAAGGCCUUCGGGUUGUAAACUGCUUUUGUACGGAACGAAAAAGCUCCUUCUAAUACAGGGGGCCCAUGACGGUACCGUAAGAAUAAGCACCGGCUAACUACGUGCCAGCAGCCGCGGUAAUACGUAGGGUGCGAGCGUUAAUCGGAAUUACUGGGCGUAAAGCGUGCGCAGGCGGUUAUGUAAGACAGAUGUGAAAUCCCCGGGCUCAACCUGGGAACUGCAUUUGUGACUGCAUGGCUAGAGUACGGUAGAGGGGGAUGGAAUUCCGCGUGUAGCAGUGAAAUGCGUAGAUAUGCGGAGGAACACCGAUGGCGAAGGCAAUCCCCUGGACCUGUACUGACGCUCAUGCACGAAAGCGUGGGGAGCAAACAGGAUUAGAAACCCUAGUAGUCCCAU
rnacentral:rRNA from 1 species